rnacentral:rRNA from 1 species
GUUGACCUCGAAUCAGGUAGGAGUACCCGCUGAACUUAAGCAUA